rnacentral:rRNA from 1 species
AUUGAACGCUGGCGACAGGCCUAACACAUGCAAGUCGAACGAGUGGCGGAAGGGUGAGUAAUGUCUGGGAAACUGCCGGAUGGAGGGGGAUAACAACUGGAAACGGUAGCUAAUACCACAUACCAUCAGAUGUGCCCAGAUGGGAUUAGCUAGUAGGUGGGGUAACGGCGCACCUAGGCGACGAUCCCUAGCUGGUCUGAGAGGAUGAGCAGCCACACUGGAACUGAGACACGGUCCAGACUCCUACGGGAGGCAGCAGUGGGGAAUAUUGCACAAUGGGCGCAAGUCUGAUGCAGCCAUGCCGCGUGUGUGAAGAAGGCCUUCGGGUUGUAAAGUACUUUCAGCGGGGAGGCGUUACCCGCAGAAGAAGCACCGGCUAAAUCCGUGCCAGCAGCCGCGGUAAUUC